AUUUCAAAAUCUAAGUUAAACAACAGCCAUGAUUGGAUAAUAACUGCUUCUUGUGCGGUUAAAAUCUCAAACUGUGACAGCUUGCCCUGACUCAAAAGACAUGAUUCAAUGAUGUUACAUUUAAAAGAACAGAACUUGCACAAUGAUGAUGUCGCAACCCAAACUGCACAACAUCUCCAAUGCCAUAACCAUGGGUUUGAAGAAGAAGGCUAACGAUCAGUGUUCACCUGCAGUACUCUACCACUACCCUUGUCCUGAUGGUGCUUUUGCUGCCCUUGCUGCACACCUUUACUUCAAGGCCACUUCCUUAUUCUCCCCUCUUUUCUUUACCAACACUGUUUACAACCCCAUCAGGGUUCAAGAUCUUCCUCUGAAUGAAAUCGGUGAUCUUUACCUCCUAGAUUUUGUGGGGCCGGAUGGUUUUAUUGAGGAAGUCUCUACCAAAGUUCAAAGGGUGAUUGUUUUGGACCAUCACAAGACUGCCCUUGAGAGGUUGGGGAAUGAUGAUUCACUUGGUGAGAAUGUGGUUAAGGUUAUUGACAUGGAGAGGAGUGGGGCUACUAUUGCAUUUGAUUACUUCAAAGAUAAGCUUUUGAGUCCUGAUAUUGCAGUAAAACACUCCUCAGUGCUUGAUGAAUUUGAGCGUGCCAGGCAACUUUUUCUGUAUGUUGAAGAUGGGGACCUCUGGAGGUGGAGACUCCAGAACAGCAAAGCUUUCAGCAGUGGUUUGAAGGAUUUGAACAUUGAAUUUGAUGCCAGGAAAAAUCCUUCGUUGUUUGACCAGUUGCUUUCACUAGACUCGAAUACUAUCAUUAGUAGAGGUAUGCUAAGCUUAUCACUGAAGCAAAAAUUAAUUGAUGAUUGUCUCAGCAAGUCAUAUGAAAUUGCCCUCGGGAAUGGUGCAUUUGGUCAUUGCCUGGCUGUCAAUGCAGAUACUACUCUUUCACAGUUAAGAAGUGAAUUGGGACAUCAAUUAGCUAUUAAAAGCAAGGAAAUGAAGUUGAGAGGUAUUGGUGCAGUUGUGUAUAAAGUACCAGAGCUUGAAAAUGACCAACUGCUAAAAAUCAGUCUGAGGAGUGAGAAGAACGAAGAUACAACACCUAUCACUCAGGAAUUUGGAGGUGGUGGGCAUCGAAAUGCAGGUUCUUUCAUGUUAACAGCUGAUAAGUUUGAACAAUGGAAGGUGUGAUUGGAUUUUUGCACUUGACAUGAGUUCUGUAUAAAGAACCAUAACUUGAAAAUGAACAAAGGACAAAAUAAGCAUGAGGGGUGUGGAGAAUGAAGUUACCAUGCCUAUUUCUCAGGAAUUUGGAGGUGGUAGACAUUGAAAUGCAAGCUUUUUCAUGUUAAUAGCUGAUGAAUUUGAACAGUGAAAGGUGUGAUUGGAUUUUUGCACUUGACAUGGAGACAUAAAGGAGUUACAGUCACACAUGAUCUUCUGUGUACUGCUCAAAUUUCAAAGUUAUGUGGAAUGUUUUGGUAGUUCUGUUAAUUACUCUAUUAUGCAGUUCUUUUGACUAUUAAUUAGGUAUCAGUGAGUUAUUUUUUUAUUUUUUAUUUUUAUUUUUUUUUUUUAUGUAAUUCAAAAGCAAUGUUUGAAUAGUCUCUCCAAUCAUUUGAAAAUUUCAUUGGACUAAAAUUUUCUUAAUGUUACUCUUUAGAGAUCAAUUGGUUUCAAAGUUACUUGGCAUUAGCAUUAGCAUAGUUGAUUAUACUCUUAACUGCCUUUCACUUAUAGAAUUCCUUCUUCCAAAUGAAAAACAAUAAAAAUAAUAAUUAACACUUGAGUUGUGAUUUAUAUUUAUUCCACAAAUAACACCCAGAUCACCUCGAGAUAGAGGUUAGUACAAAAAUGUAUAAAAUCAAUGCAAUAAUAUGAUCCUAAUUAACAAGCCCACCAAACCAAAAACAAACCAAACCAUCCUCACCAAUUAAGUAUAAUGAUAAUCAGAAAAGCAAAAGUUAAAUCUCUUAAUAACAGUUAUAUGGAAAAUGUAUAAAUAUUUUAUUAUAUGAUGAAAUGUAUAUAAAUAUAUAUAUAUUUAUAUUAAUAUCCGGCUCCCAAGUUAUUCACCACCAAUCUGGCCUGCCAUUAGGUCUUCAAAAUAUUAGUUUGUAAAUGUAACAUGUGAGAGUUCUUCACCACCAACCAUAGCUGCAUUAGAAGAAUACCAUGCAUCUUCUGUAAUGAACUGCAUCCAUGAAUCAUCUUUGUCUUCCUCUUCCAAGCAUGAUGAUGAUGCGCCUGGUAUGUCAGGAGACAUGGUAUCACACUCAUUAAUCAUGGUUUGGCAGCUCUCAAUGAGUGAUAUACUACAUUGUCCUUGCUCUUCAAUCUCAGAACAGAUUCCAUUUUUCUUGAACACCCGGCACAAUGCAUAAGUAUCCUGCAAGGUAGUUAUUAAUAUA